rnacentral:rRNA from 1 species
AUGGCCAUGGAGAAGAACCAAGAUUCCAAAGUGAUCAUGGGCCGGUACAAGCUGGGCCGUCUUCUAGGCCGUGGCAGCUUUGCCAAGGUUUACAAGGCCCAUAACAUCUCCACCGGCGAGUUCGUGGCCAUCAAGGUGUUCGACAAGGAGGCCGUGCACCGGUCCGGCACGGUGGAGCAGGUGAAGCGCGAGGUGGACGUGAUGCGGCGGGUGCACCACCCAAACGUCGUCCGCCUCCACGAGGUGAUGGCCACGCGCUCCAGGAUCUACUUUGUCAUGGAAUACGCGAGCGGCGGCGAGCUCUUUGAUCGCCUCGCCAAGAGCACGCGCUUCCCGGAGCCCGUCGCUCGCCGCUACUUUCAGCAGCUGGUCACGGCCGUGGAGUUCUGCCACAGCCGUGGCGUCUACCACCGUGACCUCAAGCCCGAGAACCUCCUCCUCGACGCGCACGGCAACCUUAAGGUCUCCGACUUCGGGCUCAGCGCGCUCGCGGACGGCGCCUCCCGCCAUCGCGGUGACGCCCUCUUGCACACGACGUGCGGCACGCCGGCGUACGUCGCUCCCGAGGUGAUCCUGAAGCGUGGCUAUGACGGCGCAAAGGCGGACAUCUGGUCGUGCGGCGUGAUCCUCUUCGUGCUCCUGGCAGGCCGCCUCCCUUUCCACGACACCAACCUCGUGCUCCUGUACAAGAGGAUCGCACGGAGCGACUACCAGUGCCCCGCAUGGUUCUCCAUCGACGCACGCAAGCUCCUUGCCCGGCUGCUCGACCCGAACCCCAAUACCCGGAUCACCAUCACCAACCUCAUGGCCCGGACCUGGUUCCAGAAAGACUCCUGCCCCCUCAACGACAAGCCCCUCGACACGAGCGAAACGGCGGUGUUCCUCGGCAAGGAAGCCGGGGGACAUCACGACGACGACCAACCGGAGGGCGCCACCCGGAAGAGGAAGAGAUCCAAGGUGACCGCGUCGUCGCCAACCAUCAGCGUGAGGCCAUCGAGCAUGAACGCCUUCGACAUCAUCUCGCGGUCGAGCGUGCUGGACCUGGCCAAGAUGUUCGACGCGGAGCACAAGACGUCGGAGGCCCGGUUCUCCAGCAAGGAGACCACGACGGCGAUCGUGUCCAAGCUGGGGAAGAUCGCGGAGGCGGGGAGGUUCAGCUUUAAGCUCAACAAGGAGAAGGGGAGAGUGGAGCUGGAGGGGAGCCAGGACGGCCGGAAAAGGGCGCUGGCCCUGGAGGCGGAGAUCUUCGAGGUGGCGCCGUCGGUGCACGUGGUGGAGAUGAGGAAGACGGGCGGCGACUCGCUGGAGUUCCAGGACUUCUACAAGCAGGAGCUCAAGCCGUCGCUGGGCGAUAUCGUGUGGGCGUGGCAGGGAGGUGACUCGCCGCCACCAACGCUCACGCCGGCGGUGCCUAGGUCAAACACGAAUUCCUGA